UGAUGAUGGUGAUGGUGAUGGUGGUGAUGAUGAUGAUGAUAAUGAUGAAAACAUAUCAUCGUCGUUCGCAUCAUCAUCAUCGUCAUCAGUAUCAUCAUCAGCAAUAGCG
rnacentral:pre_miRNA from 1 species